GCUAGAUUACAUCUCUAAUGAGAAGGAUCCUGCGAGUCUGUUCAUACCGAGGCCGGCCCGAGUGCGCGAGCGGACAUGACGUGUGGCUGUCGUAAAAACCCUAUUUGUAAACAACCAGUCCUUUAACUCAGCGCUGCGUCAUAAACACGGAGCGCUUGGAAGACCACGAUGUCAUCUUCCUUCUGUCAGGAGGAUCAAAGUGAAGCUACAGGAGUUUCAUUAACGUCAACAACUUGGACCGAACAGUUUGUUUUGCUUGAUGAAGAGCAGGAAGGGCAGCCUGGAGAGAAAGAGAAGCCGGGUUGAGCCCACUACCAUCAUCCACGUACCACGAGGAAGAUGAGGGAGAGAAAUGAUCCUACCAUUAAAGAGACUGUGAAAAGAACGUUGAGAACAUCACCACUCUACAGGAAGACACAGUCCAGUAAUGGGUGUCAGAAGUUCAGUAGUGAACGACAGGCAGUACUGAUGCAUUUACUGAGAGGGGACGUGAGGGCCUACUCUGCGUGCUCAGAGUUCAAGCCCAGCAGGCUGCAGCGGGCCUGACAUAUUCUGGAACAGCAGCACAGUCUUUAGAUGACUCCUCUGAAGAUGAAAA